UACGUAGGGUGCAAGCGUUGUCCGGAAUUAUUGGGCGUAAAGAGCUCGUAGGCGGUCUGUCGCGUCGGCUGUGAAAACUCGGGGCUCAACCCCGAGCCUGCAGUCGAUACGGGCAGACUAGAGUGCGGUAGGGGAGACUGGAAUUCCUGGUGUAGCGGUGAAAUGCGCAGAUAUCAGGAGGAACACCGAUGGCGAAGGCAGGUCUCUGGGCCGAUACUGACGCUGAGGAGCGAAAGCGUGGGGAGCGAACAGG
rnacentral:rRNA from 1 species